ensembl:lncRNA
CGAAAGUAAUGCCUCCUGUUUUAUUAUGUCGGCCCGCGAUGUCAGAGGCUGAUGCCGGUGGUACAGCAGUAGAACUUGAACCUGCUGCCAGUAUUUCAUUACGCCUUGUUGCCGUGAGACAGAUGGCAGCAGAGGGGCAGUCUGACAAAAUGGAACCUGACAUGGAAAUGUGUAUGAAAUCAAGGUCUGGAACUGAAUUCUUCCACACAGAAAAUAUGGCACUCAUUGACAUUCACUGACAUUUGCUGAAUGUUAAUGGAGACCAAAGAAUGGAUGUGGGCACAGUGAGGCCAUGGGUGGUGUGUUUCAGCAGUGGUGACAGUGACAGUGGGUCACCUUUGCUGGUGCAGAUUUGUAUGAGCGCAGCAUGCAGGCUCAUGUUCAUUGCUGGUGAAAAUGCACAGCCAAUGGUGGUGACUGAGUUGGAAAAUAGCAUUUUGUAGCUGAGAAUUUUCUCUAUCAAAUAGUGUUACUGUGCUCUCUGUCUCAGAUGUAGUUUCCAUGGAAAUAAGUAGGAGGCAUUACUUUUGGAGCAACGCAUGUAUGUUUCUAACCCAUGGAGAGGUAGCUAGGCGGUAUAAAACUAGGGAUCCGAUCAGCAGUGAGGAUAGCUCCAUCCUUAGCUCAUGUCUUUGAAUCAUUAAAAAAAAAAUGUUUUAAAAAUGUUUCAGUUAUUUUUUUCUUCUUUUACCAGUUUUGCAUGCCUGGAACAUAACACUUGAGAACACCAUUCUGGAGUUUUUAUAGCUUAAUGUGUCUUGCUGUAUGGUUUGGCGAGAAGCAGGUUAAAUGCUUUCAAAAUAUGGUCUACUUAGCAGCUUCUCUCAUGCCAUUGAAGAUACAGCACUGGGUUUUGUGGGGGGGGAUGCUGGCAAAGGGUAGAGAUGAAUUGUUUAUUGUAAUCAUUGAAUGUCCAAUUGAAUGUGCAAUAUUGCUAGCAGGUCUCUGUUCAAGGGAGGGUUUUUCCUGUAAUUCUGUAAACAUUUGUGGGAAGCAAAGCCCAUCAAAAAAGAAUCCCCCCAGGGG